rnacentral:rRNA from 1 species
CCCUACGGGUGGCAGCAGUGAGGAAUAUUGGUCAAUGGGCUUACGCCUGAACCAGCCAAGUCGCGUGAGGGAAGACUGCCCUAUGGGUUGUAAACCUCUUUUGUCAGGGAGCAAUUGGCGCUACGUGUAGCGUUAUCGAGAGUACCUGAAGAAAAAGCAUCGGCUAACUCCGUGCCAGCAGCCGCGGUAAUACGGAGGAUGCGAGCGUUAUCCGGAUUUAUUGGGUUUAAAGGGUGCGUAGGCGGAAUGCCAAGUCAGCGGUAAAAUCGCGGGGCUCAACCUCGCUCCGCCGUUGAAACUGGCGUUCUUGAGUGGGCGAGAAGUAUGCGGAAUGCGUGGUGUAGCGGUGAAAUGCAUAGAUAUCACGCAGAACUCCGAUUGCGAAGGCAGCAUACCGGUGCCCAACUGACGCUGAAGCACGAAAGCGUGGGUAUCGAACAGGAUUAGAUACCCGGGUAGUC